AUGACCUUCCUAGGAUGGGCCUGGCUGUGGCUAGCCGUCGUCGCGGACGUCGGGUCGAUGCUGCUCGUCACCAUCAACAGCACGCGCCUCCUGCAAAGCAAAGAGAAGCUGCAGUUUCG
rnacentral:sRNA from 11 species